rnacentral:rRNA from 1 species
UGCAUAGGAAUUUGCCUCGAAGUGGGGGAUAGCCCGGAAAAACCCGAAUUAAUACCGCAUGCGCUCUACGGAGCAAAGUGGACCUCUGAUUUAAGUUCACGCUUUGAGAUAAGCCUAUGUCGGAUUAGCUAGUUGGUAGGGUAAAAGCCUACCAAGGCGACGAUCCGUAGCUGGUUUGAGAGGAUGAUCAGCCACACUGGGACUGAGACACGGCCCAGACUCCUACGGGAGGCAGCAGUGGGGAAUAUUGGACAAUGGGCGCAAGCCUGAUCCAGCAAUGCCGCGUGUGUGAAGAAGGCC